rnacentral:rRNA from 1 species
UACGUAGGGGGCAAGCGUUGUCCGGAAUCAUUGGGCGUAAAGCGCGUGUAGGUGGCCCGAUAAGUCCGCUGUGAAAGUCCAGGGCUCAACCCUGGGAUGCCGGUGGAUACUGUCGGGCUCGAGUCCGGAAGAGGAGUGUGGAAUUCCUGGUGUAGCGGUGAAAUGCGCAGAUAUCAGGAGGAACACCAAUGGCGAAGGCAGCACUCUGGGACGUGACUGACGCUGAGACGCGAAAGCGUGGGGAGCGAACAGG